rnacentral:lncRNA from 10 species
UGGGGACCGGUCUGUGCAAAGGGGACUUCCUGUGACCCCUGCGGGUCCACCGGAAGUUCUGAUUUCUCCCCGUGGAAUAGGGGCGCGAAGGCUGCCCUGUCACACACGGCCCAAGAGAUUGAUUACCUGGGCUCUGGCAGCCUCUCUGGUCAUGAGGCUGGACCAUAGCUGCCUUCAGCGACCCCGAUGUCCAGGUGCACCUGCUGAGUGGAAAAGUCAAUAAACAGUUGCAAAUACAAAUUGACUCAAUGAGGGAAUGAUAAACUUGAGAGGAGGCUAACAUUAGCAUCAUCCUCACCAUCACCAUCAUCACCGUCACUAUCACUAUCACUGUCACCAUCAUCAUCACCAUCACCAUCAUUAUCACCAUCACCAUCAUCAUCACAACAUAAUGAACAGCUGGGUGUUCACCUGGAAGCUCAGAGCCUGGUGUGGCCUGGGCCCUCCCUUUGCAGCUGGUUCCCUCCUUCUGGACUUUUAAGUGCCUGGAAACUGCCAGGUUUGCACUGGACUGUACCCCUUUCGGGAAACCACUGCUGUCACUGUUAGGUGACCUGGCUGGAAAGGAGGAUGUCUGGGUGACAGGGCUUGUGGGCCAUCCUGGCUAUAGGAGUACGUACCAUUGCAGAAUCAUCCCACACUGGCACCAUCAGGGCCAUGCAGGCAAGAACAACAUAGCAUGAGGCCAAAUGCAAAUUGUUUUAAAACACACAAAUGAGCUUGGUUCAGG